CGUGAGGCUGUCCCCGGCGUGCCGCCUCCGGAGGCGCGGAGCGGAGCGCGGCUUCUCCCGGUGUAACCCGGUCCUUGGCGCUGGAAAUCCGGGAGCGGAGCUAGGAACUUGCGCGGUAAACGUGCUGAUUGAUCUGAUGGAGAAGUGGAGCAGUGCUGCAAACCCCGAGGACUUAAAAAUCAUGAGUCAGACCGUCAAGUAAAUUAGAUGAUAAUAAAAGAUUAUAUUGUGGUUUUGUCUGUCAGCUGGGGUUUGAUUUCUUCCUGCCUAGUCUUUGUGUGCGUGCUUGCCAACUGAUAAAUCUCAUUGUCCGAAAUGUAUGGAGUACAAUACUGUGGCGGUGCUGCGAGAGACAUCGCUUCCCUGAUGCACGUUCGUUAUCCCUGGCUUCGUGCUUCACAGCUGCUCUCCGAGCGCCUUCUCUGCCGACUCUAAUCCCGUUUCAGUUUUUCCCGUAACUGCAGGAUUUCUUCCCAACUCUGUCGGUGUCAUAAGAGCAGCGAUGAGCUGUUCUUCCCUCCCGUGUAAAAGAUGGGGCAGGCUCCCUUGGCGAUAAUAACGUGUCCGAUUCCCACACUACUGUUGGUUGGCUGCUUUUUCCAAGGCAGGGAGAGACUGCAACAUGCGAACUUGGGAGAAGGAGUUUUCACCCUUCCAAGGGAACCUGGAGUGCCUCACAGCAUCGUAGGCCAGACUACAAACUUGCAGCAUCAGUUUGAAUGCACAAAAGCGGGGCGGUAUCACAUUUAUGGAGGGUAUCUGUUAAGGAAAUGCUUCCAUUUCACCUAAAAUUCAAAGUAAAAUUUGUCUGUGGGUCUUAAUGAUGUCCAAAGAUUUGUCUUGAAGACUUCUUCUACAUAAUUGAAAACUGUAAGAAAAUGUUGCAGUGAGGAAAAAUCAUAUACAGUUUCAGUCAGGUUUUUAUUUUGAGGAGUGGAUUGUUAAAGCUUUUUAAACAUAAAUUUAUUUUUAUUUUAUUAUAGCAGGCAAGAAUAGGCACGUUUCAUUUCUAGAUAGUUUAUGUUCAUUGCAGUAUUCCUAUGGAUUGAAAUUCCAUGUUUCUAUUAGAGAGUUCUACUGUAAGCACAAUGGAACAAAAAAUUGCUAUCAUGCUCUCUCUGUUAAAGGGCCUAUAACACUUGUUUCAAGAAGCACACAUAUCAAACCUGCCAUGAUAAUGCUGCCUUCCUUAUCUGGGAGGCUUUUGGAGGAAAAUGUUUUGUAACAACUUUUUUUUUUUUUUUCCUAAAAAGUACACUCAAAAAUGGGUCAGUUAUUCAUGGCACAGUCUCAUCCAAAUACUAAAAAUACAUUACAAACCCCUUUUUGUACAAUUUUACAAUUCACAUGAAUGAAAUUGAGUAUUCAACGGGACCCUGUGGAGUGUUGUGAAACUCAGCUUUGGGGUUAUGGUAUUAUUCUGCUUGGCAAUGAGAAUCCUUUCAGAGAACUGCCGGUCUUGUGACUGGCAGACAAUGUGACUUCCUGCUAAUUUAAUUCUCAUUUUCUACUGGCUUUAAAGUUGAAAUAUUUAACACUCUGUAUGCUAAUAGUUUUACUAAGAUAAUUUGAUUAAUAAGAACCUGUACAAGAAUGCUCAAGCAUCAUCUGUCAGGUGGUGUUAUAGUUCUACUUAGAUGCACCUGGAAAAAGAGACACGAUGAUGACCAGGAAGAGCAUUAGUCUGGGGUUUUAUUUUAAAUUUGUUAAAUAUAUUUCCUGUACAAAUUACUUUUAUCAUGGCAAUUCAAUAAAGUGAACUGUUUUGCAAUACACCACAAA